GAGCCUACGGGAGGCAGCAGUGGGGAAUAUUGCACAAUGGGGGAAACCCUGAUGCAGCGACGCCGCGUGAGCGAAGAAGUACCUCGGUAUGUAAAGCUCUAUCAGCAGGGAAGAAGAUGACGGUACCUGACCAAGAAGCUCCGGCUAAAUACGUGCCAGCAGCCGCGGUAAUACGUAUGGAGCAAGCGUUAUCCGGAUUUACUGGGUGUAAAGGGGGCGCAGACGGCGAUGCAAGCCAGGAGUGAAAGCCCGGGGCCCAACCCCGGGACUGCUCUUGGAACUGCGUGGCUGGAGUGCAGGAGGGG
rnacentral:rRNA from 1 species